ACCAUUGAUGGGGAACUUAAGCCCACAUGAAAGUGUCUGAAUGUUCAGACCUGGCUAAUCUUCUGUUCCCCGAUUGGCGACAGGUACGAUCUAAAGAUGGCCGACGUGGAAGAAGCAGUGGGGGAAGUUCAGGAGGAGGAAGCCCCAGUGGAAGCUCCUGCUGAGGAAGAAGCACCAGCUUCUGCUGAGGAAGAACCACUGCAGGAAGAACUGCCACCUCCAGG